GGGGCGGUGGCGGAACGGCAGACGCUGCGGACUUAAAAUCCGCUGGAGGAAUACUCCGUAUGGGUUCGAAUCCCAUCCGCCCUA
rnacentral:tRNA from 1 species